AUGCAGUCGAACGGCAGCACGGGGGCAACCCUGGUGGCGAGUGGCGAACGGGUGAGUAAUACAUCGGAACGUGUCCUGUAGUGGGGGAUAGCCCGGCGAAAGCCGGAUUAAUACCGCAUACGAUCUACGGAAGAAAGCGGGGGAUCGCAAGACCUCGCGCUAUAGGGGCGGCCGAUGGCAGAUUAGCUAGUUGGUGGGGUAAAGGCCUACCAAGGCGACGAUCUGUAGCUGGUCUGAGAGGACGACCAGCCACACUGGGACUGAGACACGGCCCAGACUCCUACGGGAGGCAGCAGUGGGGAAUUUUGGACAAUGGGGGAAACCCUGAUCCAGCAAUGCCGCGUGUGUGAAGAAGGCCUUCGGGUUGUAAAGCACUUUUGUCCGGAAAGAAAACUUCAGCCCUAAUACGGCGGGAGGAUGACGGUACCGGAAGAAUAAGCACCGGCUAAC
rnacentral:rRNA from 2 species